rnacentral:rRNA from 1 species
GAUGAACGCUGGCGGCGUGCCUAAUACAUGCAAGUCGAGCGAACAGACGAGGAGCUUGCUCCUCUGACGUUAGCGGCGGACGGGUGAGUAACACGUGGAUAACCUACCUAUAAGACUGGGAUAACUUCGGGAAACCGGAGCUAAUACCGGAUAAUAUAUUGAACCGCAUGGUUCAAUAGUGAAAGACGGUUUUGCUGUCACUUAUAGAUGGAUCCGCGCCGCAUUAGCUAGUUGGUAAGGUAACGGCUUACCAAGGCAACGAUGCGUAGCCGACCUGAGAGGGUGAUCGGCGACACUGGAACUGAGACACGGUCCAGACUCCUACGGGAGGCAGCAGUAGGGAAUCUUCCGCAGUGGGCGGAAGCUUGACGGAGCAACGCCGCGUGAGUGAUGAAGGUCUUCGGAUCGUAAAACUCUGUUAUUAGCGAAGAACAAAUGUGUAAGUAACUAUGCACGUCUUGACGGUACCUAAUCAGAAAGCCACGGCUAACUACGUG